rnacentral:rRNA from 1 species
AUUGAACGCUGGCGGCAGGCUUAACACAUGCAAGUCGAGCGAGCGGCGGACGGGUGAGUAAGGUCUGGGAAACUGCCUGAGGGAGGGGGAUAACUACUGGAAACGGUAGCUAUACCGCAUACCAUCAGAAGUGCACAGAUGGGAUUAGCUAGUAGGUGGGGUAAUGGCUCACCUAGGCGACGAUCCCUAGCUGGUCUGAGAGGAUGACCAUCCACCCUGGAACUGAGACACGUUCCUGACUCCUACGGGAGGCAGCAGUGGGGAAUAUUGCACAAUGGGCGCAAGCCUGAUGCAGUCAUCCCGCGUGUGGUAAGAAGGCCUUCGGGUUGUAAAGCACUUUCAGCGAGGAGGCGUUACUCGCAGAAGAAGCACCGGCUAACUCCGUGCCAGCAGCCGCGGUAAUUC